UUGCACAGUGAACAUCCAAGUGUGCUGUAGAGUUCCCUUGGCUCUGACUUCGUGCUAGAGCAAUGUCUGUUCUUUUCCUCUGCAGUGAAAGGGCUAUUUAUCUUUUUAAAUGAAUUCAGAAAGUCAGCACAUUA